rnacentral:tRNA from 1 species
UCCCUGGUGGACUAGUGGCUUGGACGUGGUGUUCUCACCCCCAGGCCUGGGUUCAAUUCCCAGUUAGGGCA